rnacentral:lncRNA from 1 species
UCUAGGUCUGGAAGCCACAUGAAGUUCCCAGGACUCAACGCCUUCUCUCACCUGUCACACUGCCCAUGCUGCUGUGGGUUCACCUAUGUGUGAACCUCAUAGACGCCAACUGUCUGAUGAGAUUGCUUCCAACUGUCUCUCUUCAUGGAGGCUGUCAGUAGGCCAGGCACCCAACCAGGCCUGGCUCUGCCCCUGAUGCUGCACUUUGGAACUCCACUGCCCCAACCACAUGCCCCACGGAAUGGUCUGCUCGGGUGUGGCUGUUCUUUAUUGUCUUUCUGUCAUUGCCUUUGAUGCUCAAAGUCUAAUCUCCUCUGAUAGGAAUGAAUGACCUCCAGUCAGAAGUUCAGGAAUCAUGGGAUCUACCUGCAGCUUUUCUUGGAAGCCUUACAAUUGACAGCCCUUUUCUCACCGUACACUGGUGAAUUCAAUUCCAUCACUUCUACAAAGAAUUUCUAUUUUGAGAAACGUAACCAGCUCAGCUUUAUACUCUUCCAAGAUGCACCACUACCUUCUGUGACCCUAAAGGAAAUGGAAUGAACUCUCCUAACCUCCUAUCUGUAAGAUGGAAAAUCAAUUCUCUCAUUUCUUAUGUUAGCAUAAAGCUCUACCACAUGCA